GCAACAUGCAUUAACAAGUGCCAAACAUCGUCAUCUGUCUUUCUCUCUACGGGGAAUCAAUAUUGGGAGUGAGUGGAAUCCACACAAACACCAUAAUCUCACCCAACCCAUCAUGCCACCGCCAAUUUUCAACAGUUCAACUUUCCCCCAAAAUUAACGAACCUGCUACUCCUUCUAACCAUGCUUAUUUGUCACCACUCUCCUCUUGUUCUCACUGGCCCAACACGCGCUGCUUCUCAAAGCCACUACUUGAGCCCAAAGUUUCAGUCUUUAGCGUUUGGAAACUGUGGAGGGAAUAUAUUUCCAUCUGGGUCUUGCUCCAAUGCUCGCAGAACAAAAGGGGUGUUGGCGGUGCAGUCAACAGAGACUCUGAGUGUGGAAGAGGGGGUGAAGAAGGGUAUUGGUGAAGGCUUUGAUGCAAUUGUUAUUGGGUCUGGGAUUGGAGGGUUGGUUACAGGGACACAGCUGGCAGUGAAGGGUGCAAGAGUUUUGGUUUUGGAGAAAUAUGUGAUUCCUGGUGGAAGCUCUGGGUUCUACCAAAGGGAUGGCUAUACUUUUGAUGUGGGCGCUUCUGUCAUGUUUGGUUUCAGUGACAAGGGUAAUCUCAAUUUGAUAACACAAGCAUUGGACGCAGUUGGUUGCCAGAUGCAAGUGAUACCUGAUCCUACAACUGUUCAUUUCCAUCUACCCAAUAACCUUUCUGUUCGAGUGCACAGAGAAUAUGAUAAAUUCAUUGAAGAACUGACCAGUUACUUUCCCCAUGAAAAGGAGGGUAUCCUUAAAUUCUAUGGUGAAUGCUGGAAGAUUUUCAACGCCCUGAAUUCGUUGGAGUUGAAGUCACUAGAAGAGCCACUCUACCUUUUUGGACAGUUUUUUCAGAAGCCACUUGAAUGCUUGACACUAGCUUAUUAUUUGCCUCAAAAUGCUGGAGCUAUAGCACGGAAGUACAUUCAAGAUCCACAGUUGUUGUCUUUCAUAGAUGUAGAGUGCUUUAUAGUGAGCACAGUCAACGCUUUGCGGACACCAAUGAUCAAUGCUAGCAUGGUUCUAUGUGACAGACACUUUGGUGGGAUUAACUAUCCUCUUGGUGGUGUUGGUGGGAUUGCGAAGUCCUUAGCAAAAGGUCUAGUUGAUCAGGGUAGUGAGAUACUUUACAAGGCGAAUGUCACUGGUAUUAUAACUGAUCAGGGCAAAGCUGUAGGUGUUAGGCUUUCAGAUGGCAGAGAGUUCUUUGCCAAAACCAUAAUAUCAAAUGCUAGCAGAUGGGAUACAUUCGGAAAGUUACUGAAGGGUGUUCCACUUCCGAAAGAAGAGGAGAACUUCCAGAAAGUUUAUGUUAAAGCUCCAUCUUUUCUUUCAAUUCACAUGGGGGUUAAAGCUGAGGUUUUGCCACUAGAUACAGAUUGUCACCAUUUUGUGCUUGAGAGCAACUGGACCAAAUUGGAGGAGCCAUAUGGAGGUAUCUUUUUAAGUAUACCAACUGUUCUUGAUUCCUCAUUGGCCCCUGAGGGCCAUCAUAUCCUUCACAUAUUCACAACUUCUUCUGUAGAGGACUGGGAGGGUCUCUCAAAAGUUGAAUAUGAGGCAAAGAAGCAGGUUGUAGCAGAUGAAAUCAUAAGCAGAUUAGAGAAGAAAUUGUUUCCAGGUCUUAGAUCAUCCAUCGAUUUUAUGGAGGUAGGGACACCAAAGACACACCGGCGAUACCUAGCCCGUGAUGGGGGAACUUAUGGUCCAAUGCCACGCGGAAUCCCAAAGGGCUUAUUGGGAAUGCCAUUUAAUACCUCAUAAGCCAUAAAUCGAUAAAACUUUCAGGGCAUAGAUGGUCUUUACUGUGUUGGUGAUAGCUGCUUCCCUGGACAAGGUGUUAUUUCAGUAGCUUUUUCAGGAGUUAUGUGUGCUCAUCGAGUAGCUGCAGAUAUCGGGUUGGAGAAAAAAUCACCUGUGUUGGAUGCCAUGCUGCUUCCGUUACUUAAUUUCUUAAGAACACUAGCAUGAGGUUUAAUAUAUAGGAACCAUUUUGUUGGAUGCAGUAGUACCCUCACACUGCAGAUUUCCUCCACAAUUUUCCAAAGAGUUAGCAAUUUGUCAGUUUAACUUGGUUUUAGCUUCUUAUUUUUAAAAUUUAUUUAUAUUAUUUGUAUGUGGUGGAGGGGGUGGGGGAAUGGGCUUGAAGUGUAAAAAUGUAAGUGAUGACUGUAUGAGUAGUUUUCUUUGUCCAUACAAAAGUAAUGCAUACAAUAAGGUGAUCUUUACCG